CCCCUCUGAACCCCGCGGCCACCGUGGUCUCCCUCCAAGCCAGCUCCUCCCUCCCUCCCUCUUCUCCAUCUCCCCCUUCUCCUCCUUUUCCUCCUUCUCCUUCUCUUCUGUCUUCCACUGCCACCUCCAUCUACCCCUUCUCCGCCUGCUCCUCCUUCUUCUGCCUUCCCUCCCUCCUCCUCCUUCACCUCCCUCCCCCUCAUCUCCUAUCUCCCCUCCGACUCCUCCUCCGUCUCCCCCUUCUCCUUCUACUCUGUCUCCACUGCCACCUCCAUCUACCCCUUCUCCUCCUGCUCCUCCUUCUCCUCCUGCUCCUCCUUCUCCUCCUCCCUCUUCCAUCUACCCCUUCUCCUCCUUCUCCUCCUUCUCCUCCUGCUCCUCCUUCUCCUCCUGCUCCUCCUUCUCCUCCCUCCUCCUGCUCCUCCUUCUCCUCCUCCUCCUCCUUCUCCUCCUGCUCCUCCUUCUCCUCCUGCUCCUCCUCCUCCUGCUCCUCCUCCUCCUCCUUCUCCUCCUCCUCCUCCUCCUCCUCCUCCUCCUUCUCCUCCCUCCUCCUCCAUCUCCUCCUUCUCCUCCUCCUCCUUCUUCUCUAUCUCCUCCCUCCUCCUCCAUCUACACCUUCUCCUCCUUCUCCUCCUCCUCCUCCUCCUUCUCCUCCCUCCUCCUCCAUCUCCUCCUUCUCCUCCUCCUCCUUCUUCUCUCUCUCCUCCCUCCUCCUCCAUCUACCCCUUCUCCUCCUGCUCCUCCUUUUCCUCCUCCUUCUCCUCCUCCUCCUCCUUCUUCUCUCUCCUCCCUCCUCCUCCAUCUCCUCCUUCUCCUCCUCCUCCUUCUUCUCUCUCUCCUCCCUCCUCCUCCAUCUACACCUUCUCCUCCUUCUCCGUCCUCUCCUCCAUCUCAUCCGUCAUCUCCAUCCCAUGGUCUCCUCUGUCUCCUCCUCCUCCUCCCCCCCCCCCUCCUCUGUCCCGUCUCAUCAACCCCCCUCACCCUUUCUCCCCCACCCCCUCCGGCCUCCCCCCUCUUCCUCUUCCUGU
rnacentral:lncRNA from 1 species